GUGGGAUUCGGGUUAUUAGAUACCCUGGUAGUCCACGCCGUAAACGAUGAUCACCAGGUGUCGGGGGUAACAAGACCCCCCGGGGUCGAAGCCAACGCAUUAAGUGAUCCACNUGGGGAGUACGUUCGCAAGAAUGAAACUCAAAGGAAUUGACGGGGACCCGCACAAGCGGUGGAGCAUGUGGUUAAUUCGAAGCAACGCGAAGAACCUUACCCGGCCUUGACAUCCUCCUGGAUGUCCGGUAAUGCGGACAGACCUUCGGGGCAGGAGAGACAGGUGGUGCAUGGUUGUCGUCAGCUCGUGUCGUGAGAUGUUGGGUUAAGUCCCGCAACGAGCGCAACCCUUAUCCCCAGUAGCCAGCAGGAGAGCUGGGCACUCUGGGGAGACAGCCGGGGAUAACCCGGAGGAAGGUGGGGAUGACGUCAAAUCAUCAUGCCCCUUAUGGCCGGGGCGACACACGUGCUACAAUGGCGUAAACAAAGGGAAGCGAGCCGGUGACGGUGGGCAAAUCCCAAAAAUAACGUCCCAGUUCGGAUUGUAGUCUGCAACCCGACUACAUGAAGCUGGAAUCGCUAGUAAUCGCGGAUCAGAAUGCCGCGGUGAAUACGUUCCCGGGUCUUGUACACACCGCCCGUCACACCAUGGGAGUCGGAAAUGCCCGAAGUCAGUGACCCAACCGAAAGGAGGGAGCUGCCGAAGGCAGGUCCGGUAACUGGGGUGAAGUCGUAACAAGG
rnacentral:rRNA from 1 species